rnacentral:rRNA from 1 species
AAGGGCGUAUGGGGGAUGCCUUGGCUCUCAGAGGCGAAGAAGGACGUGAUAAGCUGCGAUAAGCUGCGGGGAUUGGCACAUACGAAUUAAUCCGCAGAUUUCCGAAUGGGACAACCCACUUAGUUGAAGACUAAGUAUCCUGUAGCAAUACAG